rnacentral:rRNA from 1 species
GACGAACGCUGGCGGCGUGCUUAACACAUGCAAGUCGAACGGAUUGCCUGUGGCCUUUUGGUUGUGGGUGGUGAGUGGCGAACGGGUGAGUAACACGUGAGUAACCUGCCCUCUUCUUUGGGAUAACGGUCUGAAAGGGCCGCUAAUACCGGGUAUUCACUUUGCCUCGCAUGGGGGUGGGGUGGAAAGAUUCAUCCUUGUUUGGGUGUUUUGGUGGGGGAUGGGCUCGCGGCCUAUCAGCUUGUUGGUAAGGUAAUGGCUUACCAAGGCGAUGAUGCAUAGCCGAGUUGAGAGACUGAUCGGCCACAAUGGAACUGAGACACGGUCCAU